UUUAUGGAGAGUUUGAUCCUGGCUCAGGACGAACGCUGGCGGCGUGCCUAAUACAUGCAAGUCGAGCGGACAAUUGAGAGCUUGCUCUCAAUUGUUAGCGGCGGACGGGUGAGUAACACGUGGGCAACCUGCCCUGUAGACUGGGAUAACUUCGGGAAACCGAAGCUAAUACCGGAUAAUCUUUAGCAUCACAUGGUGCAAAAGUAAAAGUUGGGUUUUACCUAACACUACAGGAUGGGCCCGCGGCGCAUUAGCUAGUUGGUAAGGUAACGGCUUACCAAGGCGACGAUGCGUAGCCGACCUGAGAGGGUGAUCGGCCACACUGGGACUGAGACACGGCCCAGACUCCUACGGGAGGCAGCAGUAGGGAAUCUUCCGCAAUGGACGAAAGUCUGACG
rnacentral:ncRNA from 1 species